UACAGAGGUCUCAAGCGUUGUUCGGAUUCAUUGGGCGUAAAGGGCGCGUAGGCGGACCCAAAAGUCCGGGGUGAAAUCUUUCGGCUUAACCGGAAAAUCGCCUUGGAUACUGUGGGUCUCGAGGGAGGUAGGGGCAUGCGGAACUUCCGGUGGAGCGGUGAAAUGCGUUGAUAUCGGAAGGAACUCCGGUGGCGAAAGCGGCGUGCUGGAUCUCUUCUGACGCUGAGGCGCGAAAGCCAGGGGAGCAAACGGG
rnacentral:rRNA from 1 species